CCUACGGGAGGCAGCAGUGAGGAAUAUUGGACAAUGGCCGGGAGGCUGAACCAGCCAAGUCGCGUGAGGGAAGACGGCCCUACGGGUUGUAAACCUCUUUUGUCAGGGAGCAAGGUGCAGGUCGGGACCUGCUGUGAGAGUACCUGAAGAUAAAGCAUCGGCUAACUCCGUUCCAGAAGCCGCGGGAAAAUGGGGGAUGCGAGCGUUACAUGGAUGUGUUGGGGUGAAAGGGGGCGCGGGCGGAGGCACAGGUUAGCGGUAAAAUCGCGGGGCUAAACCCCGCUCCGCCGUUGAAACUGGGGAGCUAGAGUGUGCGAGAGGUAUGCGGAAUGCGUGGUGUAGCAGUGAAAUGCAUAGAUAUCACGCAGAACCCCGAUUGCGAAGGCAGCAUACCGGUGCACAACUGACGCUCAGGCACGAAAGCGUGGGUAUCGAACAGGAUUAGAUACCCCUGUAGUC
rnacentral:rRNA from 1 species